UACAGAGGGGGCUAGCGUUGUUCGGAAUUACUGGGCGUAAAGGGCGCGUAGGUGGCCUGUUAAGUCGAACGUGAAAUCCCCGGGCUCAACCCGGGAACUGCGUCCGAGACUGGCAGGCUCGAAUCCGGGAGAGGGAUGUGGAAUUCCAGGUGUAGCGGUGAAAUGCGUAGAUAUCUGGAGGAACACCGGUGGCGAAGGCGGCAUCCUGGACCGGUAUUGACGCUGAGGCGCGAAAGCCAGGGGAGCAAAGCGGG
rnacentral:rRNA from 1 species